CUCAUAUUAAAAGAUAUAAAAUUUUAAUCAAUAACGAGAGUGACGGGCGAUGUGUACACACUUCAGAGCCAAUAUCAGUUAAAUUAAAUAAUUUAAAUUACUAUCAAAUCCACCUUCAUUAAAAUAUUUCAAAAUUAAAUCCAUAAUAAAAAAAAAAUUAUUGUAACCCAUCAUACACUUAAUUAUAAGCUGCACCUUGACCUGAAAUAAAUUUUAAUAAAAAAACAAGAAAAUUUUUUCUCCAAAAAGAUUUUCUGAUUAACGGAGAUAUACAAACAAAUAAAUUAAGUAAAGUAAAUCGUGUACUAUCAAUCAUGAGAUAGGUUCCUCUGAAUGGAAUGAAAUACCGCCAAAUUCUUUGGGUUUAAAGACCUUAACUAAUAAUACCCAGGUAAAACAAAAUUUACAUUUAAAAUAAU
rnacentral:rRNA from 1 species